rnacentral:rRNA from 1 species
UACAGAGGGUGCGAGCGUUAAUCGGAUUUACUGGGCGUAAAGCGUGCGUAGGCGGUUCGCUAAGUCGGUUGUGAAAUCUCCGGGCUUAACCCGGAGCGGUCAAGUGAUACUGUCGUGCUAGAGUGCGGAAGGGGCUACUGGAAUUCUCGGUGUAGCGGUGAAAUGCGUAGAUAUCGAGAGGAACACCUGGCGGCGAAGGCGGGUAGCUGGGCCGACACUGACGUGAUGCGCGAAAGCCAGGGGAGCGAACGGG